rnacentral:lncRNA from 1 species
UUUUAGGAUAUUUAUUUAUAAAAAAUUAUAAUCUCAUAAUAAUCUCAUAUUCAAGAUAAUAUUUUCACCCUCUAAAAUUGUGCCAUGUGUCUCAUGUUAGAUAAGAUUUUCAUAUAUUUAUUAAAAAAAUUAUAAUCUCAUAUUUCAGAUAAGAUUUUCACCCUCUAAAAUUGCGCCACGUGUCAUCUUUAUCUUCUAAUCCCUCUAUAAAACUACACCCUCAACUCAUACCUUUCACACCAUAUCUUCUCUAUUCUUUCAUUUCUCAUAUUUUACAAAAUACAUUCUACUCUCAAUAUCUAACAUGAGGAGGGUGUUGGAGAGGCAAGAGCGAGAAGAGGAAGAAAUCAGGUGCAGACGUGCUGAAGAAGAUCGUGAGGCCAAUGAAGGGGAGGAAGAAAUGAUUGUAGCGGUGUGUAUGCUCAAUGAAUCAAGG